rnacentral:rRNA from 1 species
AACGAACGCUGGCGGCAUGCCUAACACAUGCAAGUCGAACGAAGCCUUCGGGCUUAGUGGCGCACGGGUGCGUAACGCGUGGGAAUCUGCCCUUCGGUUCGGAACAACAGUUAGAAAUGACUGCUAAUACCGGAUGAUGACGUAAGUCCAAAGAUUUAUCGCCGAAGGAUGAGCCCGCGUAGGAUUAGCUAGUUGGUAAGGUAAAAGCUUACCAAGGCGACGAUCCUUAGCUGGUCUGAGAGGAUGAUCAGCCACACUGGGACUGAGACACGGCCCAGACUCCUACGGGAGGCAGCAGUGGGGAAUAUUGGACAAUGGGCGAAAGCCUGAUCCAGCAAUGCCGCGUGAGUGAUGAAGGCCUUAGGGUUGUAAAGGACUCUUUUACCCAGGGAUGAUAACGACAGUACCUGAGAAUAAGCUCCGGCUAACUCCGUGCCAGCAGCCGC